GACGAACGCUGGCGGCGUGCUUAACACAUGCAAGUCGAACGGAAAGGCCCUGCUUUUGUGGUGUGCUCGAGUGGCGAACGGGUGAGUAACACGUGAGUAACCUGCCCUUGACUUUGGGAUAACUUCAGGAAACUGGGGCUAAUACCGGAUAGGAGCUCCUGCUACAUGGUGGGGGUUGGAAAGUUUCGGCGGUUGGGGAUGGACUCGCGGCUUAUCAGCUUGUUGGUGGGGUAGUGGCUUACCAAGGCUUUGACGGGUAGCCGGCCUGAGAGGGUGACCGGCCACAUUGGGACUGAGAUACGGCCCAGACUCCUACGGGAGGCAGCAGUGGGGAAUAUUGCACAAUGGGCGGAAGCCUGAUGCAGCAACGCCGCGUGCGGGAUGACGGCCUUCGGGUUGUAAACCGCUUUCGCCUGUGACGAAGCGUGAGUGACGGUAAUGGGUAAAGAAGCACCGGCUAACUACGUG
rnacentral:rRNA from 1 species